CUGCCCAGUGAUUAAAAUUUAACGGCCGCGGUACCCUGACCGUGCAAAGGUAGCAUAAUCAUUUGCCCUAUAAUUGAGGGCUAGUAUGAAUGGUUUGACAAGAGUAAUACUGUCUCCAUAAGAAUUUUUAGAAUUUAUUCUCUAGGUGAAGAAUCCUAGAUAAAAUUAAAAGACAAGAAGACCCUAUCGAGCUUGAAAUAUAUUUAUAAAAUAAAAAAAAUUAUUUAAUAUUUUUAAUUACAAAAAAUUUUGGUUGGGGCGACUAAGGAACAAAUAAAGCUUCUUAAUAAAACUAAUACUUAUAAGUAAUGAUCCAUUAUUAUAAUGAUUAAAAGAAUUAGUUACCGUAGGGAUAACAGCAUAAUCUUUUUUGAGAGUUCUAAUCGAAAAAAGGGUUUGUGACCUCGAUGUUGGACUAAAAUAUCCUGAUAGAUGCAGAAGUCUUCAAGGGUUGGUCUGUUCGA
rnacentral:rRNA from 1 species